CUGAUACUUUCAAAAAUCGAAAUUAGGUCAAAAUGUCAAUAAUACUCGGUGAUUUUUACUUACAUUUGAAACUGUGGAAGUGUUGUUGCAGCCAAUGUGGAUGUCCUAAUGCGUGAAGUCCAUUGCUGCUAUUUGUAGCCCAGCUUGCAUCAAGAGAAGAUAAUAAUUUUAUAUGAGAGCUAUAGUCAAAAGUAGAAUAGGAAAGAUUAUAAAAAAAGAAACACUGAAAUGUUAAAAGUGAACAAAUUGUAAAAAAAAUUAAUACAAAGUAAUUAAUUUUUCAUUGGUUAUAGAUGAAGAGCAGGGGUUAUUUUUUAGAAAAAAUGAGGAUUGGAAUUAAUAUAGCUUUUAUUUAUUUUCAGAGGAUAAUAAAUACUCAAAUAAAUUUAAAAUUUGAUUAAAAAACUAUGCUCUUAUUCUAUACCCAAUACUUAUGAAUUACAUUGUAUAACGUAACUAAUGAUUGUAAAAACAUGAUAAAUAGGAAACUAAUAAACUAAAAUAAUAAUGAUUUUUUAUAAAUCCAUGUUUAUGAAAAAAAAGUUUCAUGAAAUUAGAUUGCUAUAGAAAAAAAAUUUCUCUCAAGUUCCAGUCAUUAUGUUCAUUGGUUGCAUCAGUAAAGAUUCACGAAUAAUAAUGUUGUUCAUCACAAUUUAUCAUUAUUAAACUAACAAAUGAAAACAGAACUGAUAAUCUGGAUAUACUUGUUGUUGGAUUAAGAACAUGGAUUAGUAAGUUAUUUUUCCAUAAUAUUAUCCACCAUAUUUAAAAAUUUUCUUUUUCCCUCUUUUCAAAAACUACGGUGACUGACAUCACCUUGUAUAAUAUAAUCUAAUAAUUUAUUAAGUUACAGCUAAGCAAUUGCAUACCACUUUCUAAAACGACUUGAACUUGUAUCGAUGAUAUGCUAAUAAAAAUAUACAAAAAACUGAAAAUGGGAUUAGUAGAACAACUAAUUCUAAUAAAAAGCAUUGUCUCAACAUUGACUCGAGUUGAGUCACAUACGUGACGAAGACUUGACAUGUCAUGACAAUUUUAAAUUUAAAAUUUUUACUGGCAGCAUUUCUGGAAAGCUUCAUCUGUUCUGGAGUGACCUUACCAAUGUUAGGAAUAGUGUCAAAACGUUUCCCCUUCAUUUUUAAAAGAACCCAAAGUCUCUUGAACAUAUGGACAAGCAUAAAGAUUUUUAGCAAACAGAAAAAAAUGCACGGUUUGUGGGGUGAUGAAAAAGAAAGUUGUAUCAGUAUAGAACCACAAAGAGGCCUAACAUCUCCGUUAAUGAGUAGUAUGACGAUUCCAUAGAUGGACUGUGAAAUGUAAAAUAACCAUAUUGAGAAUCAGAAUAUCUCAACUCAACAACAAAGAUCCUGAAGAUUACCUACAACCCAAAAGAAAAUAGAUGUUUAUAGCUCUCGUGUAACAAAAUUCUUUAAAUGAAGAAAUCAAAAUUAAAUUUCUGGAACCGUUUAUCAAUUGCACUUUCCAAAUUGUAGUUAAGAAAAAAACUUUGUUAUCAAAGCGUAGAGGUAGUAAAAGUUCAUAUCAAUGUUUCUGAUAUUCACUGUGUAUAUUCACAGUAUUUGUGAGGAUCAAAUUACUAACCAAUCGUUUUGUAUUGGAGUUGAUUAUAGGAUAACAUUGAAAUUAAACCUUUUACAAAA